ensembl:snoRNA
CUGUGAUGAAUUAACCUGAAAAAUAGCUGGAAUUACCGGCAGAUUGCUGGUGGUGAUAUUGGUUGUCUGAGC